rnacentral:misc_RNA from 1 species
UUUCCGUAGGUGAACCUGCGGAAGGAUCAUUAAUGUUAAGAGUGUGAUGGCCAUGCUAAAACUGUCGCUGACCCAAAAGGCGUUGACACCCGAGUGUCUCCUCUUACAUAGUAAUCACUCUCACCUUUAUCGCAUAACCGCUUGUCCGCAAAUCGUGAUCAUCACGCAAUUGAACUCACGACUUCACACAACCGACCCUUUUACAAGUGUAUAGUGGCCACAUGUAGGCAAUCGAUACAACUUUCAACAACAGAUCUCUUGGCUCUCGCAACGAUGAAA